rnacentral:rRNA from 1 species
CGAACGCUGGCGGCGUGCUUAACACAUGCAAGUCGAACGGAAAGGCCCUGCUUUUGUGGGGUGCUCGAGUGACGAACGGGUGAGUAACACGUGAGUAACCUGCCCUUGACUUUGGGAUAACUUCAGGAAACUGGGGCUAAUACCGGAUAGGAGCUCCUGCUGCAUGGUGGGGGUUGGAAAGUUUCGGCGGUUGGGGAUGGACUCGCGGCUUAUCAGCUUGUUGGUGGGGUAGUGGCUUACCAAGGCUUUGACGGGUAGCCGGCCUGAGAGGGUGACCGGCCACAUUGGGACUGAGAUACGGCCCAGACUCCUACGGGAGGCAGCAGUGGGGAAUAUUGCACAAUGGGCGGAAGCCUGAUGCAGCAACGCCGCGUGCGGGAUGACGGCCUUCGGGUUGUAAACCGCUUUCGCCUGUGACGAAGCGUGAGUGACGGUAAUGGGUAAAGAAGCACCGGCUAACUACGUG